rnacentral:rRNA from 1 species
AUUGAACGCUGGCGGCAGGCUUAACACAUGCAAGUCGAGCGGAGAUGAGGUGCUUGCACCUUAUCUUAGCGGCGGACGGGUGAGUAAUGCUUAGGAAUCUGCCUAUUAGUGGGGGACAACAUUCCGAAAGGAAUGCUAAUACCGCAUACGCCCUACGGGGGAAAGCAGGGGAUCUUCGGACCUUGCGCUAAUAGAUGAGCCUAAGUCGGAUUAGCUAGUUGGUGGGGUAAAGGCCUACCAAGGCGACGAUCUGUAGCGGGUCUGAGAGGAUGAUCCGACACACUGGGACUGAGACACGGCCCAGACUCCUACGGGAGGCAGCAGUGGGGAAUAUUGGACAAUGGGCGGAAGCCUGAUCCAGCCAUGCCGCGUGUGUGAAGAAGGCCUUAUGGUUGUAAAGCACUUUAAGCGAGGAGGAGGCUACUUUAGUUAAUACCUAGAGAUAGUGGACGUUACUCGCAGAAUAAGCACCGGCUAACUCUGUGCCAGCCGCCGCUGUAACAC